GAGAUAAAUUAAAGAAAUACAAAUAGAGAAAUUAUGUACACCUGUUUAAAAACAGGUGGUCCAAUCGUUGAUUAUACAAUGGGUUUGGUGUAGCAUAAUACAUCGCUAAUUUUCUGCAUCCUGAAAAAGCAGCAUAUAUCUCUACGGGUCAAGUAUGCGCCACCCCAUGAACACCCUUGCUGGUCAUGUUUCAUCCGUACAUGCAUGUCCUUGCAUCCAUGGCUUCCAGCAAAGUAGAUUUUUUUUAGAAGAUCCACCAAAGUAGAUGUGCUGGUGGACUGGAUCAGGGCCGUUGUCUGCAAUCUGGGCCUUCUUCCAGCAGAGGUUGCUGGGAUCGAACUCAACUCGUGAGGGAGAAGAAGAUUGAGGAUUCUACACAUAAAGGUGUAGAAGAUGUGGAAUUUGAUUGAGAUUAACCAUUAUCGAGUUAAGGAAAUAAAGCUACAACAUAAGAGAUGAGGAAUUAGAUGCAGAUCAAGUGUUACCGUGCUAGAGAAGGAAGGCUACAGAAAUUUGCAUGUCCUUGCAUCCAUGGCAUCCACCAAAUUAGAUGUGUUGGUGGACUGAAUUAAGGCCGUCCUCUGCGAUCUUCUCCUUCUUCCGGCAAAGGUUUCAUGGAUGGAACUCACGUCGCGAGGGUGAGGAAGAUUAAAUAUUCUGGGCAGAAAAGAAUAGAAGAUGAGGAAUUAGAUGGAGAUGAGGAUUAUCGUGCUAGGGAAAGAAAGCUACAGCAAAAUAGCUGGAGAUUAGAUGGAGAUCUAAUGUUGCCGUGCUAGAGAAGGAAAUCUAUAGAAAUUUUGGCAAGUUCAGCAUGGGAGAUGAGAGAUUAAUGGAGAUUACGUGACAUCUUCUAUUUUUUUUAUAGAAUGACACCCCCUAUUUAUUGUGUCACGAUUAAAGGAGAAGUAAAUUAUGUGAUGAUAUUUCUUGUUUUGACGUGAGAUAUCUUUUUUUUAUGGGAUGACCUGUUUCUUUUUAACGGUGACUCAAGUCUUAUUAUUUUUGAGGAAAUCAAGUAUCGUGUGAUAUCUUUUUGUACGUG
rnacentral:lncRNA from 1 species